CAGUUGUCACUGAAGUUCAGGAGGAUCCUCUAAGUUUGCUGUGUUUUCUUCAGGUCAACUCUGAGAGAGGGGCUGGAGUACUGCAAGAAGGUUCAGAGACCUGAUGGAUCCUGGGAAGGGUGUCUUCCAGGAACAGUGACGCUAUUGUCCGAUGAUCUGAUUGAUUUUGGUGAACUCAAGGAUCUGAAUUUUGCAGUUUUGAAAUGUUUGGGCACGGACAUCAUGGACAUGGCCACCACGGCCACCACGGGCACCAUGGCCACCAUGGGCACCAUGGGCACCAUGGCCACCAUGGACAUGGUAGUGGCCUUCUUAGUGGACUUCUCAACCUCGGCCUUAGGCAGCAUGGAUUUGGUGGUCACCAUGGGGGAUAUAGUGGUGGCUAUAUGGGAUAUGGUGAUGGCUGUGGGGGAUAUGGUGAUGGAUAUUGGGGACAUGGGCACCAUGGGCACCAUGGACACCAUGGGCACCAUGGGCACCAUGGACACCAUGGACACCAUGGACACCAUCAUCAUGGAUGUUAAGAAGCGUAGGUGCAGACACAGGGGAGGACACAGGCACCUGUCCUGCCACAAGAAGAGGAGGGAAUAUCAUGGGGCUCCAGCAGCUCCUGCAGCAGUGACUCUGACUAGAUGAAGAUUUCUGGAGGAACCUGCAAGGACAUAUUACUAUCUUAUCCUUUCCUGUCUCAUUUCUUUUAAUGUUUACUUAAAAAUAAUUUUAGCAGAUGUAAAAAUACAUAAAAUAUAAAGAAUAUGUAAAACAGAAUGCUCAUACACAUAUUUAUAAAAACUGGAUAUCUGGGUUUGUGGAGUAUCAUUUUGAGCCUUGAGCUUUCCUAUGUUUGUUUUUGAAUUAGAACAUGACAAGCGUGGCUCAACUCUACCUGAGAAACUGAGGAAACUGCAUUCUCACGGGGUAGCAAUCUGUCAGUCACAAGGCAGCUCUGCCUUAACGCAAAGCCUGCUUCAGUGUCUCUUUGCUCUGGAUCAUGAUUUUCAAAAAUAACAUUAUGUUGUAGAACUAAAAUCAUCUGGAAAUUGUUCACCGAGUUCAUAAAUCAGAAGCAAGUAUAUCAGUGAAAUUAUGCAAUUAAAUUCUUUUGCACCUCGCUGGCCCCUGCUGGUCAUCAAAGAGAAUGCACUUUUUUUGGUGUUGGAAAAAAGAUAUCCAGAUUCUACAGCCAUCUUUCUGUACACACACUUUGUGUAAACUUGUAAUCAGCUUCCACUAUAUGGUUAUCUUGUGUUGAAAAAAUAAAUAUGAAAACUGAU
ensembl:lncRNA